CUGCCCUUGGGAGGGGAACAACAGCUGGAAACGGCUGCUAAUACCCCAUAGGCUGAGGAGCAAAAGGAGGAAUCCGCCCAAGGAGGGGCUCGCGUCUGAUUAGUUAGUUGGUGAGGCAAUGGCUUACCAAGGCGACGAUCAGUAGCUGGUCCGAGAGGAUGAUCAGCCACACUGGGACUGAGACACGGCCCAGACUCCUACGGGAGGCAGCAGUGGGGAAUUUUCCGCAAUGGGCGAAAGCCUGACGGAGCAAUGCCGCGUGAAGGCAGAAGGCCCACGGGUCAUGAACUUCUUUUCUCGGAGAAGAAAAAAUGACGGUAUCUGAGGAAUAAGCAUCGGCUAACUCUGUGCCAGCAGCCGCGGUAAGACAGAGGAUGCAAGCGUUAUCCGGAAUGAUUGGGCGUAAAGCGUCUGUA
rnacentral:rRNA from 1 species